UACAGAGGUGGCAAGCGUUGUUCGGAAUUACUGGGCGUAAAGGGCGCGUAGGCGGCCUCGCAAGUCCCGUGUGAAAUCCCUCGGCUCAACUGAGGAAUGGCACGGGAAACUGCGGGGCUUGAGUUCGGGAGAGGGAAGCGGAAUUCCGGGUGUAGCGGUGAAAUGCGUAGAUAUCUGGAGGAACACCGGUGGCGAAGGCGGCAUCCUGGACCGGCAUUGACGCUGAUGCGCGAAAGCGUGGGGAGCAAACAGG
rnacentral:rRNA from 1 species